rnacentral:lncRNA from 1 species
GAGAAGCAAGAUGGCGGACGUGCUGGAUCUUCACGAGGCCGGGGGCGAGGAUUUCGCCAUGGAUGAGGAUGGUGACGAAAGCAUCCACAAACUAAAAGAAAAAGCGAAGAAACGGAAGGGCCGCGGUUUUGGUUCUGAAGAGGGGUCCCGAGCGCGGAUGCGGGAAGAUUAUGACAGUGUGGAGCAGGAUGGCGAUGAACCUGGACCACAGCGCUCUGUUGAAGGUUGGAUUCUCUUUGUCACUGGAGUCCACGAAGAAGCCACUGAAGAAGAUAUCCAUGACAAGUUCGCUGAAUAUGGGGAAAUAAAAAAUAUCCACCUGAAUUUGGACAGGCGCACGGGAUACUUGAAGAGGUGGCCGAAGACGAAGCAGGAGUCCAGACCGAAGACGCCGAUGAGAUACUUAAUAAAUCCUCUGUUGACCAGGUGGUCUCCAUGAGUCUAUUUGGUUAUGCUGCCUUGGAUAAACAGGGCUAGGAUGGACUUUGUGUUUAUAUUUAAUUUCUUACCCUACUUGGUAAUUUUGAGUUUAAGAAAAAAAUAAAUGUCAUUUUGUUUUCUACAUUU